UGCAAGUCGAACGAGAAUCUGCUGAAGGAGGAUUCGUCCAACGGAAGUAGAGGAAAGUGGCGGACGGGUGAGUAACGCGUGAGGAACCUGCCUUGAAGAGGGGGACAACAGUUGGAAACGACUGCUAAUACCGCAUGACGCAUAGAGGUCGCAUGAUCUUUAUGCCAAAGAUUUAUCGCUUCAAGAUGGCCUCGCGUCUGAUUAGCUAGUUGGCGGGGUAACGGCCCACCAAGGCGACGAUCAGUAGCCGGACUAAGAGGUUGAACGGCCACAUUGGGACUGAGAUACGGCCCAGACUCCUACGGGAGGCAGCAGUGGGGAAUAUUGGGCAAUGGGCGCAAGCCUGACCCAGCAACGCCGCGUGAAGGAAGAAGGCUUUCGGGUUGUAAACUUCUUUUAAGAGGGAAGAGCAGAAGACGGUACCUCUAGAAUAAGCCACGGCUAACUACGUGCCAGCAGCCGCGGUAAUACGUAGGUGGCAAGCGUUGUCCGGAUUUACUGGGUGUAAAGGGCGUGCAGCCGGGUCUGCAAGUCAGAUGUGAAAUCCAUGGGCUCAACCCAUGAACUGCAUUUGAAACUGUAGAUCUUGAGUGUCGGAGGGGCAAUCGGAAUUCCUAGUGUAGCGG
rnacentral:rRNA from 1 species